ACCAGGUUGGCCUCAAACUUAUAGAGAUCCACUUCCCUAUGCCUCCCUAGUGCCAUGAUUUAAGGCAUUGAUCACCAUGCCUUGGCUUUCAAAGUCUUAAAAACACGAUUCCCCUGUCUUGACAGGAGGAGAGUAGGAAGGAAGUACCCGCUUGUUUAUCCCCUAAGAGGUAACCGACUGCAGGACUUUCGUUUUGCUCAGCGCUGCUCACUGCCAUGUUUGCUGUCUUUCCUCAAGGCCAAGGGUCAUUUGCUCAGCGCUCUGGUCCUCUAUAUCCAGGUAUACUUCACAGCUCUGAGCCUCAGGGGCCUUUGGGCCGCCAACAUCCCCAUGGUCCCAACGCAAGGGCUCCCCCUGGUGGCGUCAGGACAGCCUACAUGGCAGAGUGUUAAGCAGGGCUUCAGGGUUACCCAACAACCCACCUAGAUCCAGAGGCUCCUAGAGGUUAUCUGGUUUGGCCCUGAACUAGUUAGAGUGGUGAGUUCUAGUGUAUACUAGGAACCUACAUAAAACUUGGGUGAGGGAAUUAUCUUUCCAGUAGAUAAAAGGCUUGGCCUCCUCCUCCAUCCGUUGGGCUCCUUUGGACUUUCCUGGCUUUUCUGUACUUCCUACUGUCUACUGUAGCUAAUGUUUAGAAGCUAGGAUCUGCAUAUGAACAAGGAGAUGGUAUUUUUUCUUUCUAAGCCUGGAUUAUAUGAAUUUUAUAACUUGGUUUUGCUUUACAACUGAAUGCAAUUCCACCAUGUAUGUGCUCCCCAUUUCAUUACCAGUUCGUGUAUUGAUGGACAUCUAGGCUGAUUUUUGUUUUAAGAGAGAGAAAGAAUAUGAUGUUGGGUGAGUAGGAAUGGCAAGAUCUGGGAGGAGUGGGGGAGGGGAAAGACUAUAACAAAAUAUAUUGUAUAAUUUUCAAAUUAAUUAGCCCUUCUGUGUGCAUUUUGCCUCCAUGUAUUUAUGUGCAGUACAUGUCUGAAGUGCCUGCAGAGCCAGAAGAGGACUUUUUGUUCAUUUGUUUGUUUGUCUUUUAUUUUUUAUCUUUUGGGACUGGAGUCGCAGACCAUUGAAAGCCACCAUGUGGGUGCUGGCAACCAAACCCAGGUCCUUCGUAGAAGCAAGUGCUGUUAACCACAGGGCCAUGUCACUCGCCCCACUCAUUUAUCUCUUGAUGACAAACAUUAUGACUUCAGUGAGGCCAAAGAGUUUUCAGGGUUGCUUCCCUUCUUCUUCUCACCGAAGAGGGCGAGAUCAGAAAGAUCAUGGCAGAUGCUCUGGCACUCAGGGCUCACAUUGAACUUGGAGCUCAUGAACUACACCUGUUCUGCCAGCCCCUGGCAUACGCCUGUCUCUGCCUGCAAGCACUGGACCACAGACAUGCGCUUGACCAUCAGACUUUUCCCAUGAGCGAGAAGGACCCAGACUCCACACUCCACUGAGCCACCUCUUCUCUUCCAUUCCUCAUGGGAGCCUCAAAAGACUCGAGUGCUAAGAUAUCAAAUAAAAUAAGACGGUUAAAGAGAAGGUGGAUAUGGGCCACUGUCAUCCUGGUAUUUGUGGAAACCAGAGGGUAAGGGAUCCUGGAGAGCUGGAGUUACAGGUGGUGUGAGCUGACAGCAAUCAUGUAACAUGUCUGGUUAUGAUGGACUAGGCACAGAACCAGAGUGGUCUGUAUCCCUGAGCUGCUAAGAGAACUAUGAUUCGGCUUCUGUUAACCAAGCACCAGCUUGAACUAUGAAUAAAACUGUAUUGCUUUAA
rnacentral:sRNA from 1 species